rnacentral:rRNA from 1 species
UACGGAGGGGGCUAGCGUUGUUCGGAAUUACUGGGCGUAAAGCGCGCGUAGGCGGACCUGCAAGUCGGGGGUGAAAGCCCGAGGCUCAACCUCGGAACUGCCUUCGAUACUGCGGGUCUCGAGUCCGGGAGAGGUGAGUGGAAUUCCUGGUGUAGCGGUGAAAUGCGCAGAUAUCAGGAAGAACACCCGUGGCGAAGGCGGUUCUCUGGGCCGAUACUGACGCUGAGGAGCGAAAGCGUGGGGAGCGAACAGG